UCGCCAGACUCCUACGGGAGGCAGCAGUGGGGAAUAUUGCACAAUGGGGGAAACCCUGAUGCAGCGACGCCGCGUGAGUGAAGAAGUAUUUCAGUAUGUAAAGCUCUAUCAGCAGGGAAGAAAAUGACGGUACCUGAUUAAGAAGCCCCGGCUAACUACGUGCCAGCAGCCGCGGUAAUACGUAGGGGGCAAGCGUUAUCCGGAUUUUCUGGGUGUAAAGGGAGCGUAGACGGUGCAGCAAGUCUGAUGUGAAAGGUCGGGGCCCAACCCCGGGACUGCAUUGGAAACUGUUGAACUGGAGUACAGGAGAGGUAAGCGGAAUUCCUAGUGUAGCGGUGAAAUGCGUAGAUAUUAGGAGGAACACCAGUGGCGAAGGCGGUCUGCUGGACAGCAACUGACGCUGAGGCGCGAAAGCGUGGGGAGCAAACAGGAUUAGAUACCCGAGUA
rnacentral:rRNA from 1 species